rnacentral:rRNA from 1 species
AUUGAACGCUGGCGGCAGGCUUAACACAUGCAAGUCGAGCGGGGGAAGGUAGCUUGCUACCGGACCUAGCGGCGGACGGGUGAGUAAUGCUUAGGAAUCUGCCUAUUAGUGGGGGACAACAUCUCGAAAGGGAUGCUAAUACCGCAUACGUCCUACGGGAGAAAGCAGGGGAUCUUCGGACCUUGCGCUAAUAGAUGAGCCUAAGUCGGAUUAGCUAAUUGGUGGGGUAAAGGCCUACCGAGGCGACGAUCUGUAGCGGGUCUGAGAGGAUGAUCCGCCACACUGGGACUGAGACACGGCCCAGACUCCUACGGGAGGCAGCAGUGGGGAAUAUUGGACAAUGGGGGGAACCCUGAUCCAGCCAUGCCGCGUGUGUGAAGAAGGCCUUAUGGUUGUAAAGCACUUUAAGCGAGGAGGAGGCUACUUUAGUUAAUACCUAGAGAUAGUGGACGUUACUCGCAGAAUAAGCACCGGCUAACUCUGUGCCAGCCGCCGCAGUAA